rnacentral:rRNA from 1 species
UGAGGAAUAUUCUGCAAUGGACGAAAGUCUGACAGAGCAAUACCGCGUGAAGGAUGAAGGCCUACGGGUUGUAAACCGCUUUUAACAGGAACGAAAAUGACGGUACCUGUAGAAUAAGGUGCGGCCAACUACGUGCCAGCAGCCGCGGUGUCACGUAGGCACCAAGCGUUGUCCGGAUUUAUUGGGCGUAAAGAGCUCGUAUGCGGUUCAGCAAGGCGGGCGUGAAAACUCUGGGCUCAACCCAGAGCC